rnacentral:rRNA from 1 species
CCUACGGGAGGCAGCAGUGAGGAAUAUUGGUCAAUGGCCGGAAGGCUGAACCAGCCAUGCCGCGUGAAGGUUAGUGCCCUAUGGGCGUUAAACUUCUUUUGUGCGGGAGCAAUAAUGGUCAGGUGUGGCCAGACGAGAGUACCGUACGAAUAAGCAUCGGCUAACUCCGUGCCAGCAGCCGCGGUAAUACGGGGGAUGCAAGCGUGAUCCGGAUUUAUUGGGGUUAAAGGGUGCGUAGGCUGGGAGGUAAGUCAGCGGUGAAAUGCCCCCGCUCAAAGGGGUGAAGUGCCAUUGAUACUGGCUUGCUGGAAUGCGGAUGCCGUAGGAGGAAUGUGUGGUGUAGCGGUGAAAUGCAUAGAUAUCACACAGAACACCGAUUGCGAAGGCAUCUCACGAAUCCGCGAUUGACGCUGAUGCACGAAAGCGUGGGUAUCAAACAGGAUUAGAUACCCGUGUAGUC